GGGUACUUAGUGCAGUGGUUAGCACGUAACCCCGGUUAAGUGAAGGCCUGGGUUAGAAUCGCGAGUCUCCA